UGAAAAUGCAAGUGUCUGAGGACCGGGGCGGGGAAGAGAGAACAACAGCGGACCACUAGAACUUGCGCGACCCUGGCAGCGCCGCCAAAUGAGCACCGAUGCACGCCACCAGACACCGCCGGACGCACAGCAAGACGGUGGCGUGGACUGCAGCGGAAUUUGCUUAUACGACGGGUUUAACCGUCAUGAAGAGCCACGACAUCCGAAAAGAAAUAAUAAAGG
rnacentral:lncRNA from 1 species